rnacentral:misc_RNA from 1 species
GAACGCACAUUGCGCCCGCCAGCACUCUGGCGGGCAUGCCUGUUCGAGCGUCAUUUCAACCCUCAAGCCCCCCAGGGGGCCUGGUGUUGGGGACCGGCCCCGCCUCGUCGCGGGUCGCCGCCCCCUAAAAUCAGUGGCGGUCCUGCCGCAGCCUCCUCUGCGUAGUAGCUUAUGAAACCUCGCACCGGAGCGCGGCUCGGCCACGCCGUUAAACCCCAACUUCUGAAAGUUUGACCUCAAAUCGAGUAGGACUACCCGCUGAACUUAAG